CGGGCGGCGAGUAGGCAGCCGGGCCGGCCGGGGCGAGCGACGACGGGGACACGUCCCCUCCCCCGGCGAAAUGGUCGCCUCCCAGAGGGUCCCCCAGCGGCCCGGCCAGGCCCUGCUGCUCCUGCUGCAGGAGGAAGAGAUUGGGGCCGAAUAACGGAUUCAUGGUGGCGUCUUCUGCUGGGAGACGGACACCGCUACAGGAGCAGGGAUGGAGGGCGAGGGGGAAGAGCCAAUGAGGCGCCAGGCGGACGCGGGGCAACCAAUCAGACGGCCCGGCGGGCAUAGUCUACCACCCACUCAUUCUCUUCCACCUGGAUACAUCAAGGAGACAAGGAAGAGAGAAGGAAAAGUAGAGCUGGAGCUGAAGGGAGCUCUAAGGGGCCAACAGCCUCCUGGCCCUGUUCCCUGAGCUCCACCACAACAGAGGCCUCACCAUGAUGGAACAGGGGCAAGUUUCAAUACUGAAGUCAAGAAGGGGACAGGCAAACUAGAAGACACACAGAGGGGAGCCACACCUUGGGGAACUGGCGCCCAUCGUAGUGGCUGAUGAUGGUGUUGGUGACUCCCAACCGGUGCAGAUUACCCACGACACUCUUGAGCCGCUCAGCAUUGGCAUCGUUGGCAAGAAUCACACCUGUGUUCUUCAUCAGCUGGGCUGAAGGGAGAGAGGCAUGGUGCUCACCAGCCAGCCACCCUCCAGCCCCAAAAUGUGAAGUGGUGAAUUCCCACCACUUCAAGGCAACUUUACUGUGAAUAGGCCUCCUCCCCAUGGUCUACAGGACAGAUCUAGACCUGCACCCUCUGAUGAGUAAGACUGCCAGUGUGGUUUUUUUCAGUUACCAAGCAUCUUUUUGGUCCUCCAGACUAACUUACUUAAAUGAUAAUAGCUUAAUAAAAUGACUAUAACUA